UUGAACGCUGGCGGCAUGCCUUACACAUGCAAGUCGAACGGCAGCACGGGGGCAACCCUGGUGGCGAGUGGCGAACGGGUGAGUAAUACAUCGGAACGUGUCCUGUAGUGGGGGAUAGCCCGGCGAAAGCCGGAUUAAUACCGCAUACGCUCUGCGGAGGAAAGCGGGGGAUCCUUCGGGACCUCGCGCUACAGGGGCGGCCGAUGGCAGAUUAGCUAGUUGGUGGGGUAAAGGCCUACCAAGGCGACGAUCUGUAGCUG
rnacentral:rRNA from 4 species